UAACAACACAAGAACUCUGAAACUCAAACAAGAGCUAUGUAGCCCAUUCAGUGCAACCACACGAAUAGCAGGCGAUAACUUAGACCUUGAAGCCUUUGCUGUUCCUCCUUCCUCUCGCCUUCUCAAACUUCCUUCCCUUUGAGCGCACGUAAGGCUUGGUGUUGCUGUGUGGCACUCCAGGAGCAGGACCAAAGUGCUUCACUGCUUCCCUGGCGUUCUUAGGACCCCUCAGGAGAACCUGUAAUAAUGCGAAAUUAGGAGCGCGGAGCGCCAGCUGAUCGAAGGUAAGGCACUCUCCACCAGUAUUCACAAUGCGAGCCCUCGCGGUCUCGGUGAACCUGAGCGCGGCCACCUUCAUCGCCGGCACCUCGUAGACCCUCUUGUCGUCGGUAACGGUGCCCACGAUCACGGCGAUCUGACCUUGCCCUCCAUGAACCUGACGAGGCGGCGGAGCGAGAGCGGCGGGCGGUUGGUCUUGCUCAUGAAGAGCCGCCUCAGGAUCACGGCGUUGAAGGGGCUCUUGGUCCUCCGCACCAGGAAGCGGGGACUGACCUUGACGAUGAGCUUGAGGUAGACAUCGUCGGACUUGGGCGCCGUGCGCUUGGUCUUCUUGUUCCGGCCGCCGGCGACGAGGUCGAUACCC
rnacentral:sRNA from 1 species